rnacentral:lncRNA from 1 species
AUUACUAAGGAAAAAGAUGUUCAGGUACUAUAUGUAGUUUCUGCUCCUUCCCUUGCACAUGACUCAGGACAUGAUCAUCACAUACCCUAGGAGGACAUGAUCUUAUUUUCAUUAAGUGAAAAGGAAAAGAUAACAUUAUCAAAACUUACCAGAUACAACUUAAGCUGUGCUUAGACAGAAAUGUAAAGCUUCCAGGCACACGGAGGUUGGCCAUCCCUAAUCCAAACAUCUGAAAUCCAAAAUGAUAAGGAGUUCAGUUCCAUGGGAGGGUGGGAGUCUCUACAGAGCUUAAUCAUGACAGGGACACAAUCCAACUUGUGGCUUUACAAGUGCCCCUUGGUUACUCCAGAGAACAGAAUGUUGUGAUAAGGAAAGCAAAAGAGAACCCGACAGGAAGACUCUGGAGGGGGCCGCUGUAGUGCUCACAGGAAGAGGUGGCAGCAGGCUAGAGGUGGGAGUGACUGGGGACAGCAGAGAUGUGGCUGAACUUUAGCUGAGAUGUGAGUGUGAUAAAAGGAGGCUUGGUCAAGAAGGCCUGAGGAUUUGGGGUGGGGAUGCCAAUGCUAUUCAUGGAGAGGGGCUUUCUGGGGCAGAAACAAACUAAUAUAGAUAGAGCUCCUUUUCUGGCCGAGUAGCCAGCAGCCCCUUGGUGAGGUCAGAGAGACAGGAGAUGUGGAGUUUUUGGAGGUGUGAGUUUUUGGACUCAUGAGCACAUAGAUGAUACUGAGAUCUGGGAAACGGGGUAAGAUUGCCUAUGGAGAGUAUGGAUGAGAAAAGAAGAGAAAAAGAGGGGAGGAAAUUUCCUGGGGAGAAGAGAGGAGGAGAGGGGCUAAGGAUAAACUCUUGAGGCAUUCCAGGAUACAGCAAUGCUGGGACCUAGGGCAUGGAUCCCUGGACACCUGAGUUCCCUCAUCUGUGAAAUGGGAUCAUGCUUGGGAAAGCAGACAGAACCUCAUGCCAGUCUUUGUAAAUGGAAGACAAUCCUUGUCCCGCAUCAAAAUGACUUUUAUGUGAGCCAUUACAAUCCAUGGGAAAAGAGAGAAUACACAGCAACUCCCAGACC